rnacentral:misc_RNA from 1 species
UUUCCGUAGGUGAACCUGCGGAAGGAUCAUUACAGUAGUCGCCCGGGUUGUCGCAAGGCCUCCCGGGUAACCUACCACCCUUUGUUUAUUACACUUUGUUGCUUUGGCAGGCCUGCCCUCGGGCUGCUGGCUCCGGCCGGCGAGCGCUUGCCAGAGGACCUAAACUCUGUUUGUCUAUACUGUCUGAGUACUAUAUAAUAGUUAAAACUUUCAACAACGGAUCUCUUGGUUCUG